rnacentral:rRNA from 1 species
AGACUGGGAUAACUCCGGGAAACCGGGGCUAAUACCGGAUGCUUGUUUGAACCGCAUGGUUCAAACAUAAAAGGUGGCUUCGGCUACCACUUACAGAUGGACCCGCGGCGCAUUAGCUAGUUGGUGAGGUAAUGGCUCACCAAGGCAACGAUGCGUAGCCGACCUGAGAGGGUGAUCGGCCACACUGGGACUGAGACACGGCCCAGACUCCUACGGGAGGCAGCAGUAGGGAAUCUUCCGCAAUGGACGAAAGUCUGACGGAGCAACGCCGCGUGAGUGAUGAAGGUUUUCGGAUCGUAAAGCUCUGUUGUUAGGGAAGAACAAGUACCGUUCGAAUAGGGCGGUACCUUGACGGUACCUAACCAGAAAGCCACGGCUAACUACGUGCCAGCAGCCGCGGUAAUACGUAGGUGGCAAGCGUUGUCCGGAAUUAUUGGGCGUAAAGGGCUCGCAGGCGGUUUCUUAAGUCUGAUGUGAAAGCCCCCGGCUCAACCGGGGAGGGUCAUUGGAAACUGGGGAACUUGAGUGCAGAAGAGGAGAGUGGAAUUCCACGUGUAGCGGUGAAAUGCGUAGAGAUGUGGAGGAACACCAGUGGCGAAGGCGACUCUCUGGUCUGUAACUGACGCUGAGGAGCGAAAGCGUGGGGAGCGAACAGGAUUAGAUACCCUGGUAGUCCACGCCGUAAACGAUGAGUGCUAAGUGUUAGGGGGUUUCCGCCCCUUAGUGCUGCAGCUAACGCAUUAAGCACUCCGCCUGGGGAGUACGGUCGCAAGACUGAAACUCAAAGGAAUUGACGGGGGCCCGCACAAGCGGUGGAGCAUGUGGUUUAAUUCGAAGCAACGCGAAGAACCUUACCAGGUCUUGACAUCCUCUGACAAUCCUAGAGAUAGGACGUCCCCUUCGGGGGCAGAGUGACAGGUGGUGCAUGGUUGUCGUCAGCUCGUGUCGUGAGAUGUUGGGUUAAGUCCCGCAACGAGCGCAACCCUUGAUCUUAGUUGCCAGCAUUCAGUUGGGCACUCUAAGGUGACUGCCGGUGACAAACCGGAGGAAGGUGGGGAUGACGUCAAAUCAUCAUGCCCCUUAUGACCUGGGCUACACACGUGCUACAAUGGACAGAACAAAGGGCAGCGAAACCGCGAGGUUAAGCCAAUCCCACAAAUCUGUUCUCAGUUCGGAUCGCAGUCUGCAACUCGACUGCGUGAAGCUGGAAUCGCUAGUAAUCGCGGAUCAGCAUGCCGCGGUGAAUACGUUCCC